rnacentral:rRNA from 1 species
UACGUAGGAUGCAAGCGUUAUCCGGAAUGAUUGGGCGUAAAGCGUCUGUAGGUGGCUUUUCAAGUCCGCCGUCAAAUCCCAGGGCUCAACCCUGGACAGGCGGUGGAAACUACCAAGCUGGAGUACGGUAGGGGCAGAGGGAAUUUCCGGUGUAGCGGUGAAAUGCGUAGAUAUCGGAAGGAACACCAGUGGCGAAAGCGGCUUCCUGGUCCAGCACCGACGUUCAGGCACGAAAGCGUGGGGAGCAAACGGG